GAUGAACGCUGGCGGCGUGCCUAAUACAUGCAAGUCGAGCGAACGGACGAGAAGCUGGUGUCUCUGAUGUUAGCGGCGGACGGGUGAGUAACACGUGGAUAACCUACCUAUAAGACUGGGAUAACUUCGGGAAACCGGAGCUAAUAUCGGAUAAGAUUUUGAACCGCAUGGUUCAUAAGUGAAAGACGGUCGUGCUGUCACUUAUAGAUGGAUCAGCGCUGCAUUAGCUAGUUGGUAAGGGAACGGCUUACCAAGGGAACGAGGCAUAGCCGACCUGAGAGGGUGUUCCGCCACGCUGGAACUGCGACACGGUCCAGACUCCUGCGGGAGGCAGCAGUGGGGAAUCUUCCGCAAGGGUCGAAAUCCGUACGGAGCAAGCCCGCGUGAGUCAUGAAGAUCCUCCGUUCGUAAACCUCUGUUAUUAGGGAAGAACAUCUUUGUAAGUAACUGUGCCCAUCUUGGCGGUACCUACUCAGAAAGCCACGGCUAACUACGUG
rnacentral:rRNA from 1 species